UACGUAGGGCGCAAGCGUUGUCCGGAAUUAUUGGGCGUAAAGAGCUCGUAGGCGGCCUGUUGCGUCCGCUGUGAAAACCCGGGGCUUAACCCCGGGCUUGCAGUGGAUACGGGCAGGCUGGAGGCAGGCAGGGGAGAACGGAAUUCCCGGUGUAGCGGUGAAAUGCGCAGAUAUCGGGAAGAACACCCGUGGCGAAGGCGGCUCUCUGGGACGGUACUGACGCUGAGACGCGAAAGCGUGGGGAGCGAACAGG
rnacentral:rRNA from 1 species